rnacentral:rRNA from 1 species
CUACGGGGGGCAGCAGUGGGGAAUAUUGCACAAUGGAGGAAACUCUGAUGCAGCAACGCCGCGUGGAGGAUGACACUUUUCGGAGCGUAAACUCCUUUUAUAUAGGAAGAAGGUGACGGUACUAUAUGAAUAAGCGCCGGCUAACUCCGUGCCAGCAGCCGCGGUAAUACGGAGGGCGCAAGCGUUACUCGGAAUCACUGGGCGUAAAGAGCGUGUAGGCGGAUUAAAAAGUCAGAAGUGAAAUCCUAUAGCUUAACUAUAGAACUGCUUCUGAAACUCUUAAUCUAGAAUAUGGGAGAGGUAGAUGGAAUUUUUGGUGUAGGGGUAAAAUCCGUAGAGAUCAGAAGGAAUACCGAUUGCGAAGGCGAUCUACUAGAACAUUAUUGACGCUGAGACGCGAAAGCGUGGGGAGCAAACAGGAUUAGAUACCCCGGUAGUC